CUCUUUGGAAAAAAGGAAAACACGCGCUGGAAAAGACGUUCCCAGCUGGAGCCAUAAGACUGCUGGAAUGUGGCAGGGGUCCUCAAACUAAGCCUAAGGCGAGUGGAGCAGCUUCUCUGAAGACAGAAACAGCCUCCCCGAGCUGAAGCUACUACUUCAGGGCUACUAAGUCUGCCCAUUGUGAGUCAGUCACCAGCAGAGACCCGACUCGGCAGCAUCAGUAUUCGGGAGGCGCAAGCAGCCAGUCUGGCGCAGGCUCUUCAAGGCCGCUGUCCUCAAAUGACCCCAGGGCCCUGGCUGCCCUUUCAGGUCGAGAGCGCUCACACAGCCUAGGGAGACUGCGAGGGAUUGAAAUGGCAAACCCCGGGUUCCCUGAACCUUCCUCCGGGGGCACGUCACCAUCCACCCCCUCUCCUCCACGUCUCCCUCCCACACCUUCCUCUAGGCGCGGUAGAAAGCGCUUGGCCCCAAUAGUUUAGGGGACCGCAGGCAAAACGCACGAAAAUUGCGCCUCAGAGGCAAAGUGGAUCAAGGCCAGAUAUGAAGAGGAAAUGGAUCUCAUUUUUGGAUAAGAUAUACAAAAGAGCCAUUGCACAGAGCCAAGGAAACAAAUCAAGGAAUGGUUGAUGCACUUCUAAGCCAAUACAAAGGACUUGAACCCAGUGUGAAUACUCAAGGUUGCGACGCUUAACAUACAUGAAGAUGUAGGCUUUCCUUGUAUCCACACUCUUUGUGAAAAUACUUACAGAUGAGUAUCCCUAACUUGGCUUCUAUAAUCUAGUCCCUUUUCUGCCUUUCAUAGUGUGGCAAACUUUCUGUAGUCCUGGCUACUGACUAGGUAAAUGCUUACUUGCUUAUAUCAUUUUAACUGGGCACUGAUUCAAGGACCUGUUACAGAUUUAUUUUUCCUUUACUUAGAAUUUUUACACAUAAAACUUUGAUAAUCUAUAUUUCAUCCAGAAAUUAUCUCUUUUAUUUGGAUUUUUCUGAUGUCUUUUUAAUUUCUGUUGCCAAUUGAUUCAUAUACCUCAUAACUCAGCCAUGCAUCCCUAAGUGAUCCCUGUUUUUUUUUCUCAAUCACCCUCUUCAUGGUGGGGGGGGGGAUGUAAAAAUAUUUUAAAUUGCAAAGUUUAAAUUCCUUUUGAGAAGAAUUUUAGAUUAAGAAAUAUGCUUCCUGUCUGAAUCCAGAAACUGAACUGUUUGGAGAAGACACCAUGAAGAUGCCUCCAGACCACAAGUUGCAUGAGAAGAUCAAGAAUGAACUUUGGGUGUGGUUGAUUGAACAUUUAUUUGUAUGUAUACUUUCGUGCCAAAGGGGACUUCCCCCUUUUUGUCAAUGCAUCUAGCAAUUAUUGGUUUUGUUCUUUUUCCCUCUUAUCCUCAAAUUAUUGUAAUCUUUAAGUUGAUUAUGUUUUCAUGAUCCUUUGGCGAAACUUUUCCCAAUAGGGUCAAACGGGGUGUGUAAAAAUGGAGAUUUGAACCCCAAACUUCAAUCACCACAAAUCCUUGGCACUUCCCAGAAUGCCCUAAAAUCUCACUGGAGAUACCCACCUGGGCCAAGAACAAAAUGGGUAUUUAAACUGACUGUACUACCUACUUGCUCUCUCUGAUUCUGCUUCCAAGCACCUGCAGCGAGAUGUAAGUGGUUGUGAAUGGGCUCUGGGCCUAAGCACAUGCUUUUCUUAUUUUGUAUUUUCUUUAUUUCUUAAUUCUAAAAAUCUUUAAUAAACCUCAUAAAA